rnacentral:ncRNA from 1 species
AAGAUAGAGGUUGCGUGUUUCAUCAGUACGUUGACAGAUGUUUCGGAAACAGAUGAAGCCAGAGGAAAGGGGAACACGCCGAAAGGACAGCAGAUCCGGGAUGCUGUUUCUUGGGCAUAAGUUUAACAGGCUUAUGACUGUCAUCGAAAGAUGGAGUGCUAUCG